AUGAUUUGUGUCUUAAGUAAAAUAUACAUCCUUAUUCAAAGACUUUUUAAUAUAUAUUUAUCUUUUUGAAAGCCUUAUUUUUUUCUCACUAUCACAAGCAUAUGCACAUUGAUGAUUAAUGAGUAUCUAAGCACUGGGUGAUUUAACAUCACGUGGGCAUAGGAGAGGAGAAAUUAAUCUAAAUCAUAAACAAAGUACUAAGUUCCCUCCCUAUAAAAGCCUUUAGGCAAAAACAAUCAACACUUUAACUAGAAGGCAGAUGCUAAAGAUUCACCUAUUUUUCAUCUUUUCAUCAUUGCCAGAAUAGAUCUGUAGAUAUAAGGAGCAGGCCACUAAGCCAGAUCCUGCUGUUCAAGAAAUAUGUUUCACAGCCAGAAGUGCGCCUCAUCUCAGCAGGCAGAACUGCAAUAUCACUUGAAGGAACAAGAUGCAACUGGUCGCUGCAUUCUGCAAAACCCAAUUUAUAACAGUGCUCCAGCUAGCAGGUGGACUUUGAAGGAACAGAUCUUCAUCAGACUCCUCUGUGAGUAAACAAAUGGGUAUGUUACCUACCUAUUUGUUUGAUAUUCUUUUAAAUUAUAGGUCAAAUCUUCUACAUUGUAAAAUCAAUUACUUAUCUUUCUUGAAAAAAAAUUCUGAUUGAGAGUUAGGAGUUUUUUUGAUGUUACAUAUACUUGUUGUAUUUAUGUCUCUUUCAAAAUUAUGGAUUUACAGAUCCAGAAAUAUGUCAAAAAAACAAAACAAAGCAAAACAAAACUGAAGCUUACUCUAGUGCUCUUGUUAGAAAAUUUAAGAUUGCCACACAACAUCAUGGUCAGAUUCUGCAGCUUUUCCGUCCUGGAGAACAGAUGAACAUUGAUUUUGUGUAGGUGUCAUAUUACACACAUUUUCUUUCUUGCUUACACAGAAGAACGUGAUUUUCUUCUGGGUUGCUUUUUAUUAAAAGAAAUGCUGUUCUUUUGCUUGCUUGUGGCUGUUGUUAAAUAAGUUGGUGCCUAGUAUUGCAGCUGGGUACUCUGCACAGAGCUGUAUGUCUUCAGUGGGCACAUGCCUGAGAGAUUCCAUGAAACAUGCAAUCUAUUUAUUACAUAUUUGGCCAGUGGAAGAAGCAAAAGAGCCAUUUUCCUGCAUGACAGUUUCUUAGAUAUGAAAAAUUACAAAAGUUUUUUUAGUGUUUAGGUGAUGCAGAUGUUAAUUCAAGAACAAAAUACAGCACAGCUAUCACAGUAAGUCAGUAAGCCAGGAACCC
rnacentral:lncRNA from 1 species